rnacentral:rRNA from 1 species
GACGUAGGGCGCGAGCGUUGUCCGGAUUUAUUGGGCGUAAAGAGCUCGUAGGCGGCUUGUCGCGUCGUCUGUGAAAUCCCGCGGCUCAACUGCGGGCUGGCAGUCGAUACGGGCAGACUAGAGGUAGGUAGGGGAGAAUGGAAUUCCCGGUGUAGCGGUGAAGUGCGCAGAUAUCGGGAGGAACACCGGUGGCGAAGGCGGUUCUCUGGGCCUUACCUGACGCUGAGGAGCGAAAGCGUGGGGAGCGAACAGG